UGUAUAGCCAUGGGAAUGUGCGUGUUUUCCUGCUCUAAGAGAGUAAAUGGUGUCCUUAUACGCACUAAAAUGAACAACAGCACGUUAAAAGCAUAUUGAUAAUUCAUAUCUACUUAAAAUGCCCAUUAGAUCAUUCCUGAAGUGCAACUAGCUAUGACAUGAUAUUAUAAGUAAGCAGAUCCUGCUAGCUAUUUAGCAGUUCAUCAUCAUCGUCCUCAGAAGACAAGACAAGAAAGAAGCUCCAAGCGUCUAUACUACAACUCAAAAACAAUACAGCAUCACUGAUUCGAGUGAAUUCACCGGAUGGAUUAUUCAGUCUGAGCAGUCAAGAUUCGAUCAUCGACCUUAUAAUGGCAGG